UGCCAUGACAAUGGUGACCGCACAGAGA
rnacentral:piRNA from 1 species